UACCAGCAGGUCGAUAAAUGUUGCGAAUGAUGGAACGGCGGUAUAUUAGGAAUGGUUGUACGAGCAGCACGAUGGCAGCGAAGCGGUGAACCAACGCCACUUGAUUUUCGUUAGCCUCUGCCACAGGACAUCAAGGCUGCCUUCGAUACCGUUUGAAGCUCGAAACGCUUGGCCUGCCUGUGCAGGUGCUGUCCUGGAUGCGUUCCUAUCUUGCUGGUCGCACACACUGCAUGAAGGAUGGGACCCCAUACGUCGCGCCGUAUCGAUGCUUCUUCGGGACCUUGGACCGCUGCUGUUUGUCAUUCUCCUGAAUGACGUCACACGGUUGCUCCCUCUUGAAUGACGACGCGAAGCUGAAGUGGAAUUUUAAUUAAUAAAUAACAAUAAAUAACAAUAACAAUAUAUUAUUUUAGGGGCGGUGGUAGUAAAUGUAGUAGCCACGGAUAUACCGACGAGAAUAUUUUGGUGUUGAUGCAGUGUACCGCUGUUUUGAAGGUCUAUUCGACGAACAAUUCAUAUCGCCGUUGAUUAGCUGCGGGGUAAGCGGCAUAGGUGUGCUUCUUCAUGCCGUACGAUCAAUCAUCCCUUCGUCACUGGGGACACCGUGUGACCGGGAACCGUUCAAAACUAGCUUGAAGCUGCGCUAGCUUGUGUUAAACUCUCUCCCGACGAAGGUGUGCGCUAGCUACUUUGUACCCCGGCCUGCUGGUGAUCCGGGAACGGCAGCCCAGGAUUUGGUAAGAGCCAAACAGGGCAAUCAACGCCUAUCGAGUGCAUUUGCAUGAAGAGUGCCUGCUGGGUGAAUAUGGAGCUUUUCGCUAGCAAGCAGUUUAGUUUACUGGACGGGGGCAAAUCAUUAUCUAAGCCAGGAGCUAUGGCGGCAUACCGAGUGCCCUCGUUUUCGUUGACGGCUGCUGGAACAAAAAUGCAAAAAGAUGUACGGUGGAAUGCAGCAUUUGCGGAAUUAGUUUACUGUGGCCUACGAAUAGCAAUAUAGCAAUAGAGUCGACACUAAAGAAACGCUAUCUCACGUUCGGGCGGGGAAGGAACAGCAGGAACUUGAAGAAGUUGUCUUGUCGCUAGCCAAGAGGGUGAGCAUGCGGCAGAUAUGUGCCAUGAGCUGUUGAAUCGUUCACGGACGCAACGCCUUUUGGAUCAAUGCUUUUGGAUUUGUUACUCGUGCUGUUAGAUGUGUUCCUCGUUUUUACAUAUUCCCUUACGGAAUCUUAUAAAAUAUACCGUUCGAAGAAAGAGGACUACAUUUAAAUUCUGCCAACGAUGGAUCGUUUUGGACAGAUGGAUUAUUUUUGCCGUAAAAUCUCACAUCGUCUCACG